rnacentral:rRNA from 1 species
GACGAAGGGGGCUAGCGUUGUUCGGAAUUACUGGGCGUAAAGGGUGCGUAGGCGGUCGGGUAAGUCUGAUGUGAAAUCUCACAGCUUAACUGUGAAACUGCAUUGGAUACUAUCCGGCUAGAGGAAUGGAGGGGAGACUGGAAUACUUGGUGUAGCAGUGAAAUGCGUAGAUAUCAAGAGGAACACCAGUGGCGAAGGCGAGUCCCUGGACAACUUCUGACGCUGAGGCACGAAAGCUAGGGGAGCAAACAGG